rnacentral:misc_RNA from 1 species
UCAAACUUGGUCAUUUAGAGGAAGUAAAAGUCGUAACAAGGUUUCCGUAGGUGAACCUGCGGAAGGAUCAUUAUUGGUUUGUGAGCCUAGCACUGGCGACGCUGAUGUUCUGUGCAGCCAUAGGGUUGCACACGUGGCGACCACGCGACAGUCACGUGGCCUGUCAAAAACACACAACACAGAAACUGACAACGACACGACACACACAACACACAACUUUCAACAACGGAUCUCUGGGCUCCUGCAUCGAUGAAGAACGCAGC